UAAGUUGGGCACUCUAAGUUGACUGCCGGUGACAAACCGGAGGAAGGUGGGGAUGACGUCAAAUCAUCAUGCCCCUUAUGAUUUGGGCUACACACGUGCUACAAUGGACAAUACAAAGGGCAGCGAAACCGCGAGGUCAAGCAAAUCCCAUAAAGUUGUUCUCAGUUCGGAUUGUAGUCUGCAACUCGACUACAUGAAGCUGGAAUCGCUAGUAAUCGUAGAUCAGCAUGCUACGGUGAAUACGUUCCCGGGUCUUGUACACACCGCCCGUCACACCACGAGAGUUUGUAACACCCGAAGCCGGUGGAGUAACCUUUUAGGAGCUAGCCGUCGAAGGUGGGACAAAUGAUUGGGGUGAAGUCGUAACAAGGUAGCCGUAUCGGAAGGUGCGGCUGGAUCACCUCCUUUCUAAGGA
rnacentral:rRNA from 1 species